UGUGUGUUUUAAUUUGUAAUUUAACCUGCAGGCUGAAAAAGUACCUGUUAAAGAGCUUGAUUUCAAUGAGAAGAAGCUUCUGAAUGUUCGAUCUGCGUUGGAGCAAUGUGUUGCUGAAAACUAUAGCCUGAAUAUGUUAGCCAAGGAUGCAUACCGAGCGUAUAUCUCAGCAUACAAUUCACACUCUUUGAAAGACAUCUUCAAUGUUCACCGACUCGAUCUCCAGGCGGUUGCAGCAUCGUUCUGCUUCUCUUCGCCACCUAAAGUGAAUCUGAACAUAGAAAGUGGAGCUGGGAAGGUCAGGAAAGCAAGGAAUCAGCAAGGUCGCAAUGGCUUCAGUCCUUAUAGUCCCUAUGGCAAGUCCACACCUAAAUAGGCGUAAUGUGUCUCGAUCGGCUUACGACAUUUCUAUUUGCUCCUUGGACACUUGUUUUUGAUUAAAAUUACCACCAAGUUUUGUUUGAAGAGUAAACAGUGCAUCUAAUUUAUAUGAAAUGUUAUUUAUAAAUGAUAAUACUUGGCUUACUAUUUUA